ACCAUGCCCAGCUAAUUAAAAAUCUUUUUUUGUAAAGAUGGGGUCCUGCUAUGUUGCCCAGGCUGGUCUCAAACUUCUGGCCUCAAGCAAUCCUCCUGCCUCAGCCUCCCACAGUACUGGGAUGGUUGGGCCUUGGGCUGAGAAGGAGACAGGGAAGGGUGCUAUAGGAGCUGUGUGAUCCUAGGUGAGCUGUCUGACCUCUCAGAUUUGUUCUCAUCAACAGAAUGGGGAUAAUGGAAUCUGCCUCCUGGGACUGUCACGAGAAUUAGAUGAGGGAUUUUGGAAAGAACAUGGCCCACGGUUGAGUUCCGGAGAGGCUGCUUCCUCUCUGGGCGACCUUAUUCCACUUCUCUGAUCUUGAGUUUCCCAAUCUGCAGAACAGGGGGAAGGAAAACUGCCCCCGGGACUGCUGGCAUUAAAUGAGAUCGUGCCUAGAAAGCCCUCGCAGGAAGACCCCCUCCAGGGUCACACACCUCUCUCUUUCCCUCCCCUGUCCCUUUCCCUCUCCCCUCCUGGGACAGACUCCAGGGGAGGAAGCGCUGUCUCUAAGUGGGUGAGGACUCGCCCAGACUCGCCCGCCUGACUCCGCCUGGUUUCUACGUUGCCACCCUUUUGCCACCAAAUGGCCACCUUCAGGGUUGGCCCUUUCACUCCCACUGGAGAAUCCAACCGGAGCCACAGUCACUGACCAGGGACUUCUGAAGACAGGAGGAGCAUCGAAUGAGAAGAUCCAACCAACAACCCGGUCCCCACGGCAACACGUUGACACUGGUCCUCUCCACCUGAGGCCUCGUCUGGGGCUCCCUACAUCUUCAGAAGUGGUUCUACUUUUAUGCCCCAUUUGUCAAUGAGGAAAGAGUUGGGAAUCCAGAGAAAAACCCGGGUCCAUCUGACUCCAAAACCAGCACUCUGUCCGCUCACGCUUUUCCAUGUCAGAGGGCUGUGUGUGUUGAGGAGGGGUCUACCCACUCCUUCAUCCCCCAAGCCCUCAGGAAACAAAGAGAGUCCAGCACAUAACAAGUGCUCAAGUGGUUGUAGAUGAGCAAGGGAAUGAAUGAUGGACAAGCAAGUGAAUGAAUGAAUGCACUUGUGGAGUCCUGCUGUCCUUUCUUUCCCGGAAACUCCCUCUUUCCCCUCCAUGCUCUACCCCAAAUGGUGUUCACCUCACCCACCAUUGCCCCAUCCAUCCUCCCCUCUCUGCAGCCACCUUGGGCCAACAAUAGAUGGGACUCCUCCCAUCACCUACAGCCCACUUGCAACCUCAGGAUGCUUUGAUGGGGUUGCCUUGGCAACUGUAAGUUUCCAAUUGAAGCAAAAAGUUCCUACCAGGGUUUUCGAUGAAGAAUGACGGGAGAACCAGCAGAGAAGGUUGCCCAGGCAACGGGAACAUUUAAGUCAAACUUUGCGGGUCUCAGUGUGGGGAGAUUAUCCUCAGCAAGGCGAAGAGAUCGGCCCCCUUGCCAGGCGGCUCUGCCAACGCAAGCUGCGCGUUCAUGGAGAUGGGGGAGGCCCCCAGCCUAACCUCAGCCGGCCGGUUGUUUCUGACAAUUAUUGAUCUGCCAUCUCCAGAGUUCUCUGACUCAUGACAAGCCCCAGACGGGCCUCGAGCCUGGCAGUGUCUCCAGGUCGACCAGGUGACUCGAGAGGGGGCUUUGUGCCCUCAUUUAUCUCUGUGCCGGACCCAGGGGUUGGGUUUCUCUCAGUUACUGCCUCACUUUGCCCCUGUCUUUGUUAACUCGUCUGUCCUUUGUCCCCCUGCAGAAGCAGACAUGGGCCCUCAGCAUAUGAUGUCAGCGGCUCUGGCGCCCAGCUUUGUUAGCAGCGGUUCCUGAGUGGGUAAAAAGGAUGAGCCCCUCUCUCUAGGGAGAAGGAAGGGAGCAUGAGAGGCGGGGAAGCCCUGAGGCCUGCGGGUGGUAAGGAAAGCAGCUGGGAUCUGACAGACAAGGCUGAUUCCAGGGAAUCCAGGCCCUGUGGCUUCUGCAGGGGACUGAGACCCCCUGGGGCAAGAUCCCCUUUCAGGUGCCUGAUCCUGCAGGGUGAUGGGGUGGGAGGGUCUUAGACGCACCUGGGCCCCCACCUGCCCUGUGCUAUCUCAGCCCCUGGCUUCUGCCCUUUUUUCUUCCCUCUCCUGCUCCCCUCAUCCAUGUGUAAAAACCAGGCACCCAGAAAACGAGUAGGGUGAAACUUGGUGCCUGCCUUUACCUGCAGGGGGCUUGGGCAUCACUUGACCUAGGCCUCCAAGACUCUGCCCUCCUCCCUGGUCCUCCAACAGCCUUCAGCUUCGUCCAGCACCCAGCCCUUUGCACCUGUGGAACCCCCUGCCUGGAUCACUCCACCCCUCCCCACCCCCACGCAGGCCUCGACCACACCACUUUUCUCCACCCUCUUUAUGGCAGAUGUCACACCCUGGAACCGUGUGGUGUUUCUGUUGUCUGCCUACAGUAGGACGUAGGCUCCACGCCACGAGAACUACUGGAAUAAUCAUAGUUUAUAAUAAUAGUUUAUAAUAAUAAUAGAUUAUUUAUAAUAAUCUCCUCUUCCCUCCUCAGCUCUCCCUCCUGUCAGGACAAGCAAAAGCAUCAGAGACAGAGACAGACAGAGAUAGAGACAAAAGAUAAAAGAUAGAGACAAAAGACACAAAAA
rnacentral:lncRNA from 1 species